AGCGAACGCUGGCGGCAGGCCUAACACAUGCAAGUCGAACGAACUCUUCGGAGUUAGUGGCGGACGGGUGGGUAACACGUGGGAACGUUCCUUUUGGUUCGGAAUAACUCAGGGAAACUUGUGCUAAUACCGAAUGUGCCCUUCGGGGGAAAGAUUUAUCGCCAUUUGAGCGGCCCGCGUCUGAUUAGCUAGUUGGUGAGGUAACGGCUCACCAAGGCGACGAUCAGUAGCUGGUCUGAGAGGAUGACCAGCCACACUGGGACUGAGACACGGCCCAGACUCCUACGGGAGGCAGCAGGGGGGAAUCUUGCGCAAUGGGCGAAAGCCUGACGCAGCCAUGCCGCGUGAAUGAUGAAGGUCUUAGGAUUGUAAAAUUCUUUCACCGGGGACGAUAAUGACGGUACCCGGAGAAGAAGCCCCGGCUAACUUCGUG
rnacentral:rRNA from 1 species